rnacentral:rRNA from 1 species
AUCAUGGCUCAGAACGAACGCUGGCGGCAUGCCUAACACAUGCAAGUCGAACGAAGCCUUCGGGCUUAGUGGCGCACGGGUGCGUAACACGUGGGAAUCUGCCCUUCGGUUCGGAAUAACAGUUAGAAAUGACUGCUAAUACCGGAUGAUGACGUAAGUCCAAAGAUUUAUCGCCGAAGGAUGAGCCCGCGUAGGAUUAGGUAGUUGGUAGGGUAAUGGCCUACCAAGCCGACGAUCCUUAGCUGGUCUGAGAGGAUGAUCAGCCACACUGGGACUGAGACACGGCCCAGACUCCUACGGGAGGCAGCAGUGGGGAAUAUUGGACAAUGGGCGAAAGCCUGAUCCAGCAAUGCCGCGUGAGUGAUGAAGGCCUUAGGGUUGUAAAGCUCUUUACCAGGGAUGAUAAUGACAGUACCUGGAGAAUAAGCUCCGGCUAACUCCGUG